rnacentral:rRNA from 1 species
UACGAAGGGGGCUAGCGUUGUUCGGAAUCACUGGGCGUAAAGGGCGCGUAGGCGGCCGAUCAAGUCGGGGGUGAAAGCCUGUGGCUCAACCACAGAAUUGCCUUCGAUACUGUUUGGCUUGAGACCGGAAGAGGUAAGUGGAACUGCGAGUGUAGAGGUGAAAUUCGUAGAUAUUCGCAAGAACACCAGUGGCGAAGGCGGCUUACUGGUCCG